rnacentral:rRNA from 1 species
GUUGAACGCUGGCGGCGUGCCUAACACAUGCAAGUCGAGCGAAGCGGGGACGGGUGAGUAACAUGUGUAUAACCCCCCAUAUGACUGGGAUAACCUAGGGAAACCGGAGCUUAACCGGAAACUUAUAGAUGGAUCCGCGCUGUAUUAGCUAGUUGGUAAGGUAACGGCUUACCAAGGCAACGAUGCAUAGCCGACCUGAGAGGAUGAUCUGCCACACUGGAACUGAGACACGGUCCAGACUCCUACGGGAGGCAGCAGUGGGGAAUCUUCCGCAAUGGGCGAAAGCCUGACGGAGCAACGCCGCGUGAGUGAAGAAGGUCUUCGGAUCGUAAAACUCUUUUAGUAGGGAAGCGGUACCUGAUCAGAAAGCCACGGCUAACUACGUGCCAGCAGCCGCGGUAAUAC